rnacentral:ncRNA from 1 species
GGCCGGGAUGUUGCCGAAUACAAGACCUGCAAGGGAAAUCAGGCAAGCCGAGUUAUGCCGGUUUUGAACAUCCUGACCGUCCUCAU